CACACAGAGAUACAUGCUCAUAGACACAUACCCCUACAAACAAACACACACACACACACACACAAACACACACACACAUAGACACAUUCCCCUACAAACACACACAGACACAUACACACCCACACAGACAGACACACACGCACAUAGACACAAACCCCUACAAACACACACACCGAUGUCGCAAAACUAACUGAUCCUGAUCGGCUUCCUCUUCCUCUGCAGUGAGGACUGACAGCCACAAGGACCUGAGCCCUAGGACCAUGCCUCAGGACUGGCAUGAUGACUCCUUGCUGUCCCCAGUUCACCUGGUCGUGCUGCUGCUCCAGUUUCAACUCUUCUGCCUGCGGCUAUGGAACCCUGACCUGUUCACCGGACGUGCUACCUGCCCCAGACCUGCUGUUUUCAACUCUCUAGAGACAGCAGGAGCGGUAGAGAUACUCUUAAUGAUUGGCUAUGAAAAGCCAACUGACAUUUACUCCUGAGGUGCUGACUUGUUGCACCCUCGUCAACUACUAUGAUUAAUUAUUAUUCGACCAUGCUGGUCAUUUAUGAACAUUUGAACUUCUUGGCCAUGUUCUGUUAUAAUCUCCACCCGGCACAGCCAGAAGAGGACUGGCCACCCCUCAUAGCCUGGUUCCUCUCUAGGUUUCUUCCUAGGUUUUGGCCUUUCUAGGGAGUUUUUCCUAGCCACCGUGCUUCUACAACUGCAUUGCUUGCUGUUUGGGGUUUUAGGCUGGGUUUUUGUACAGCACUUUGAGAUAUUAGAUGAUGUAAGAAGAGCUAUAUAAAUACAUUAGAUUUGGUGCUUCAACAAAGUACUGAGUAAAGGGUCUGAAUAUUUAUGUAAUGUGCUAUUUCUAAAAACCUGUUUUGGCUUUGUCGUUAUGUGGCAUUGUGUGUAGAUUGAGAGAGAAAUGUUUUAAUCCAUUUUAGAAUAAGGCUAUAAAGUAACAAUGUGAAAAGUGAAGGGGUCUGAAUGCUUUCUGAAUGCACUGUAUUCAACCACAAAGACCAGGGAGGUUUUCCAAUGCCUCACAAAGAAGGGUGCCUAUUGGUAAAUGGGUAAAAUAAAAAAUAAAGAGCAGACAUUAAAUAUC